AGCUACUUCGCCUAACAUCGUAGUAGCUUCGACUUCCAAAAAUGCUGUAGCUACUUCGCCUAACAUCGCAGCAGCUUGGACUUCGAAAAAUUCCGUGGCUACGUCGCCUGAAGUCACAGUAGCUUCGACUAGUAUUCCUGCCAAUCUUGCUACACAUGAAAACAUAAAUCCACAAUACAGGCCAAGGGGAACUCGGGCGGGUGUCUAACGACAAGAGGAGCACUUUAUGCGCUUCCUGUACAGGUUGUCCUCCCCACAUUAUUUUUGGGGCAGAAGAGGUGCAUACAUGAGAGGUGCGACAAAAAAAGAAGAUAACUGAAUCAGCGAACAAGUCAAACUUAACAUUGGAAGAACGAAGCAUAAUGGAUUAUAUAAAAAAACUUUAUUUGCUACAUAC